rnacentral:rRNA from 1 species
CCUACGGGUGGCAGCAGUGGGGAAUAUUGCUCAAUGGCGGAAACCCUGAUGCAGCGACGCCGCGUGAAGGAUGAAGUAUUUCUGUAUUUAAACUUCUAUCAGCAGGGAAGAAAAUGACGGUACCUGACUAAGAAUCCCCGGCUAACUACGUGCCAGCAGCCGCGGUACUACGUAGGGGGCAAGCGUUAUCCGGAUUUACUGGGUGUAAAGGGAGCGUAGACGGCAUGGCAAGUCUGAUGUGAAUACCCGUGGCUCAACCCCGGGACUGCAUUGGAUACUGUCAGGCUAGAGUGUAGGAGCGGCAAGCGGAAUGCAUAGUGUAGCGGUGAAAUGCGUAGAUAUUAGGCGGAACACCAGUGGCGAAGGCGGCUUGCUGGACGAUGACUGACGUUGAGGCUCGAAAGCGUGGGGAGCAAACAGGAUUAGAUACCCCAGUAGUC